ensembl:lncRNA
UUUUUUUUUUUUUUUUUUUGCCUUUUCUAGGGCCCCUCCUGUGGCAUAUGGAGGUUCCCAGGCUAGGGGUCGAAUUGGAGCUGUAGCCACCGGCCUACGCCAGAGCCAUAGCAACGUGGGAUCCGAGCUGCGUCUGCGACCUACACCACAGCUCAUGGCAACACUGGAUCCUUCACCCACUGAGCAAGGCCAUGGAUCGAACCCGCAACUUCAUGGUUCCUAGUUGGAUUCGUUAACCACUGUGCCGUGACGGGAACUCCCAUUAAUCCACUUUUUGUUUUUGGAUUUGUCUGCUCUGGACAUUUCAUGCUGGGGAUUUAACAUGUGCCUAUGCAGCUACCCAAGCCUCUGUAGUCAGAUUCUUAACCCACUGCACCACAGUGGGAACUCCUAUGUGUCAGUAUUUUAUUUUUCUUUUUAUGACUGAAUAUGUCACUUAUAAAGAUAGCGUACAUUUUGUUUAUGCAUUCUUCAGUUAAUGGACAUUUGGAUUUUUUUCCCCUUUUUGACUGUUGUGAAUAGCGCUGCUGUGAAAGUUUUUGUGUAGCCAUGUUUCAAAUCUCUUGAGUAUAUUCUAGGUGUGGAAUUGAUGGGAGAUAUAGUAAUUCCAUGUUUAAUCAUCUUGAAUUUUUUGUAUGACAUUGUUUUAGUUUCCUAGGGCUGCUGUAAUAAAUGACCACUAAUUGGGUAGCUUUAAACAGGAGAAACAUAUUUUCCCACAGAAGGACAAAAUCAAAGUGUCUGCAGGCCAAGCUCCCUCCAGAAGCCCUAGGGGAAGAUUCUUCCUGCCUCCUCUGUUUGCCUAGAGCCCCAGGAAGUCCUAACUUGUGGCUGAAUCUCUCCAUUCUCUGCCUUCAUCUUCACAUGGGCUUCUUCCUUUGCAUGUCAUCUUCUCUCUGUGUACAUCAUCUUCUCUCUGUGCACAUCUGCAUAUGUGUCUACAUUUCCCCUUAUAAGGACACCAGUUAUUGGAUGGAGGCCUAUUCUAACGACCUCAUCUUAACCUGAUUGCAUCUGCAAAGACUCUCCCUCAAAUUAAGGUCCCACGUUGGAGUUCCUGUUGUGGCUCCAUGGUUAACGAACCCGACUAGUAUCCAUGAGGACUUGGGUUGGAUCCCUGGCCUUGCUCAGUGGGUUAAGGAUCCUGCAUUGCUGUGGCUGUGGUGUAGGGUGGCAGCUACAGCUCUGAUUUGACUCCUAGCCUGGGAACCUCCAUGUGCCACAGGUGCAGCCCUAAAAAGACAAAAAUAAAUAAAUAAAUAAAUAAAUAAAUAAAUAAGGUCCUCUGCACAGAUGCUGGGAGUGAGGACUUCAACAUGUCUUUUUCUGGAGAUUCCAUUCAUCUCAUGACAGGUGCAGAGUAGUGAUCUGGUUUUCAUUUUUUCAGAGGAAAGCUGUUUGUCUAGAAAAUUCUUCAUACUCCUCUGUAGGAACAUCUCAGUGUCUGAAUGUGUGCAGGCCAGUUUCCAAGCCCUCUAUUCUUCUCUUCUAUUCCUGGGCUGCUCUUUUCAUUACUGCAGCUUCUUAAGUGAGUUCAGUACAUAUAAGAGUCAGUGGCCAGAAAAAUAUAGUCUCUUUCUUGCUUGGAUAGCUUUCUAUGUCCUUGUGACUUUUUACAAGUGCUAACCCUGGCUCUAGCCAUUGAAGAUCCAGCAUUGGCCACCUAGAGGCCCUGGGGUAGCUCUGUUGUGUGUCCUACAAAGGAUUUUGUCCAGAGCAUCUUCAGCACAGCCCUGGGACAAGAUGCCAAGGACAGAAUGUUGCAUGAACCAAUGCCCAGGAGAAAAGGAGCUGGGGCUUGAAGCUGUUCAGAAAGGCCAAAGAUGCAGGGGUUGAGCUGAAGCAACUGAGUUACUUUAGCAAAGCCAUAGCCAUGAGAAGGGCCAGUUUCUAACCAUGGUAAAAGAGCAAGAUCUCCAAGUUAAAUCACCUGGUUAAUUGUGGCCCUUAAAUUCUACUCUAGGAAUUUGUACAGCCCUAAUAUUAGCAUUUCCAGGGAGGGAAGGCAGCUGUUGGAGGCAGGAGGUAGUUCCAUGUUCCAUGGUGACUCCCAGGCCCCAUGGGCUCUAAUUAUAAACCAUGAGAAGGGGAGGGAGGGCUCACGACUGUACUGACACCAGUACAAAGGCACCCAGAAGUUCAUUUUCCUUGGACACGUCAAAAAGAUUUGCCUCAAGCCUUUUCAAAGGUUUGCCAAAUACUUUUGGGCAAAAACAAAACAAAACAAAACAAAACAAAAACAAAACCAAACUGCCAUUUUUCAUAUGCAUUCCCUGACAUUUAUUUUGGUGGAUGCAGGAUAUAUUAUUAAAAUUCUUGUGUUUACUUUAGUUGUUUAAAUUCUUAUAUCAUUGUUGCUUCCUGAAAUAUUCUAUCAAAUUACAGGAUCAUUUUAGGAUUUUCACCUGAGUUAGUCAUCACACUUGAAUACAUCUUGAACAGUUGAGAAGACCUCAAGGACUGAUUAGAGAAUUUCUAGAAUUUAACCAAUAGCUUUUCAGUCCCAAAUAGCAGGUGGUUUAAAGCAUUGCCCAAAUUUUAAAUUAGUUUUAAUGAUAGUUAUUAAUUUGAAUAAUAGUAAUACAAUUUCAAACAUGUUGAAUUUAUUUCAGUUUUCUGGGAUUUAGCAUUUUUCAAGAUGCUGUUUUGUUUGAUAUGCUGUUUUGGUGGCAGAAGAUGGGGUGCAGCCUCCACUCAGAUGGUAGGUACUACAUAGAGGAAAGGUGCCCCCAAACUCUUGGCCAUACUCAACAGGAGUGUAACUGCCUCAGCUUGGAGUUGGAGGGGAUGAGAAAUGGUGACCUGCUGCUUUGGUAAGAUGCCAAACCGCUUGACUGGGAGCUGAAGGAUGAGGGAGCCCCAUCCCUUGGCCAUACCCAUCUCAGGUGGAAUUCUGUCAAGUAAAACUGGGGGGCAGUUGGCUAAAUCACCUCAGAUUCUUACCAUUAUUACCGAGUUUUAGUAGAUUUUCUUGAAUCAAUAUCUCUUCAUUUGCUAUGUGCACUGAGGACAAUUUCUAGAGAUUAUAAAAUGUUUGUAUUAUUAGUGUUCACUAGGAGUAGAGUGGGUCUGCAGAGCUCCUCAUGGUGCUGUCCCAGAAGUGGACCCAUUCAACCUUGUUUCUGAACUAAGGCUGAUGCCCUCUCAAAACUGAAGGUGAUAGAGGGGCCAUAAUAUUAACCCUGCUGCCUAAUAAUUGGAUUGUGUUUGCAUUGAUGUGAAUAGCAUAAAAUAAGAAAUGAGAGAAGACAAGGGAGCCUUCUCUCUAUGAAGCGCCACAAGGUUUGGAGACUUGUUCUAGAGAAACACCAGCCUCAUUCCAACAUCUGUUGGACAUUUGACACAGCUGUGGAUGCCAGAGCACCUUCCAGCAUUAUUUGCAGAAAUAUGUGAUGGUUCUUUAGUCUUGGUUACAAAAUCUUUUUUUUUUUUUUUUAAUUUUAUGGCCACACCCAAGACAUAGGGAAGUUCCCCGGGCCAGGGAUUGAGUCCAAGCUGCAUCUACCAACAGCGCAACAGCUGCCACAAUGCAGGAUCCUUUAACCCACUGUGUGGAGCUGGGAAUUGAACCUGCACCUUCACAGGGACCUGAGCCACUGCAGUCAGAUUUUUUUUUUUUUUUUUUUUUUUUGAGUUUUAUUGAAGUAUAGUUGAUUUACAAGGUUGUGAUAAUUUUUGCUCUACAACAGAGUGAUUCAGUUAUACAUAUAUACAUAGCAUUCUCAGAUUCUUUUCCCACACAGAUUAUCACAGAAUAUUGAGUAAAGUUCUCUGUGCUAUAGCAGGUCUCCAUUAACCUAUCAUUCCAUAUACCAAUCCCCAUAAUAGUUUAUUAAGUUAAUUAAUUAGUUUAUUUAUGGCCUCACCUGAGGCAUGUGUAAGUUCCUGGGCUAGGGAUCGAACCCGUGGCAAAGCAAUGACCCAAGCUGAGUCCUUAACCUGCUGAGCCACAGAGGAACUCCAUGCAGUUGGAUUAACCUGCUGCUCCAUGGCGGGAACUCUUUGGUUACAAAAUCUUUUAAAGGGCGUAGAAUAAUUCUUCCAGAGAAACUAGAGCCCAGGGGCAGUUGGAACCUUUUUGUGCCAGGUAAUUUCUGCAGGUGACUAAUAUUU